GUCGAGCGAUGAAAUCUUGACAGAUCCCUUCGGGGUGAAGAUAAGAUGGAUCAGUGGCGGACGGGUGAGUAACACGUGAGUAACCUGCCUUAGACAUUGGGAUAGCCUCGGGAAACCGGGAUUAAUACCAAAUGAAAUCAUAGGUGCCCAUGCACUAAUGAUCAAAACUCCGGUGGUCUAAGAUGGACUCGCGUCCCAUUAGCUAGUUGGUGAGGUAACGGCCCACCAAGGCGACGAUGGGUAGCCGGCCUGAGAGGGUGAACGGCCACAUUGGAACUGAGAAACGGUCCAAACUCCUACGGGAGGCAGCAGUGGGGAAUAUUGCACAAUGGAGGGAACUCUGAUGCAGCGACGCCGCGUGAACGAUGAAGGCUUUCGAGUCGUAAAGUUCUUUUAUAUGGGAAGAUAAUGACGGUACCAUAAGAAAAAGCCCCGGCUAACUACGUGCCAGCAGCCGCGGUAAUACGUAGGGGGCUAGCGUUGUCCGGAAUCACUGGGCGUAAAGGGUUCGCAGGCGGAAAUGCAAGUCAGAUGUAAAAGGCAGUAGCUUAACUACUGUAAGCAUUUGAAACUGCAUAUCUUGAGAAGAGUAGAGGUAAGUGGAAUUUUUAGUGUAGCGGUGAAAUGCGUAGAUAUUAAAAAGAAUACCGGUGGCGAAGGCGACUUACUGGGCUCAUUCUGACGCUGAGGAACGAAAGCGUGGGUAGCAAACAGGAUUAGAUACCCUGGUAGUCCACGCUGUAAACGAUGAGUGCUAGGUAUCGGAAUAAUUCGGUGCCGCAGUUAACACAUUAAGCACUCCGCCUGGGGAGUACGUGCGCAAGCAUGA
rnacentral:rRNA from 1 species